AUAACCGAUAUCCAGCACAGGCUUCAGAGAGCGUGUUGACCUGCUCACAAGGAAAUGUGAAUAGGAUCAUGCUCUAAAGCCCACCAUGUUCAAUGGCGCUGUGGGUUUCUUUGUCGCUGACUCCCCGUUUUACCACCUCCUCAGGUAUAGUGUCUUCCACUCCCAGCAGGUAGUUAAUUUGGAGUUGCCACUGCUCCUAGCUCCCUACUCACUAUCACCAGUUUGGAUUGGGCUUCCCACUUUAGCCCCCAAGGCAGGAGCAGAGGAAUGUCUGGCUUAUGGGUUGCUUUGGGCCCACAUCCUGCCAUCCUGUCCCUUCUCACACAGCAACUAAGCAUAGGGGGAACAUUUCCCAUUGGAUAGCUGGCAUAGCUCAGUUGAUGGGAGCAUGAGACUCUUAAGCUCAGGGUUGUGGGUUCGAGUUCCACGCUGGACUAGAUGACCCUUGGGGAACCUUCCAGCUCUAUGAUAACAGUAAAAGGUAAAGGUAAAGGGACCCCUGACCAUUAGGUCCAGUCAUGACCGACUUGGGUUGCGGCGCUCAUCUUGCUUUACUGGCCGAGGGAGCUGGCGUACAGCUUCCGGGUCAUGUGGCCAGCAUAACUAAGCCACUUCUGGAGAACCAGAGCAGUGCACAGAAACACCGUUUACCUUCCCACCGGAGUGGUACCUAUUUAUCUACUUGCACUUUGACAUGCUUUCGAACUGCUAGGUGGGCAGGAGCAGAGACCGAGCAAUGGGAGCUCACCCCAUCGCGGGGAUUCGAAUCACGGACCUUCUGAUUGGCAAGUCCUAGGCUCUGUGGUUUAACAGUAGGAGCUUCCAAUUUGCUGGAGGUUUAUUUUCCCAGCAGCUGUGGAAAAAUGUGAUGAAUGAAUACUCCCUUUUGCUGUGUGGGAUGUUGGGGGGUUAGAGGGAGUAUGUGUGAGAGAAAGUGGGGGGCAGGGAGGGAGUAUGUGUGAAAGAUAAAAAGUGUUGGUGAUGAUUUUGACACCAUCACUAUCCCUAGUCUUCCUUCCCUCCACCAAAUAGCGGCUUCUCAGGCACUGCAUGAAAGGCAGCACACAACUUUGGUUUUACUAAACCAUCCUUUUCCAUCCAGUCCCAAAAGGAAAGAAAAAAAUGAGUUGCUUUUCAACAGAUAUUAUCUGGUUACAUUUUCACGAAGGUGUUCUACUGUACCACUACUGUAAAAAAAUAAAAAUAAACGAACCAAACAUUUAAUAAUAUGGUUGUGCUUUUGGGGGGGUUUUGAGAAUGGCCUUGUUUAUUUUAGUACAGCAUGGAAAACAAGAGUACGAAAUGAAAAUAAACACGCAAAGCAAGAUGGGAGGUGAAAGAACACAAGCAAAGGAUUAGAAAGGAAGAGAGUGUAUGUGGCAGCACUACAGAAAUAAGGAAGCAAUACGCAGGAG